UCUCUCUGCAGAGAAGAAUGUUUGAAAAUACCUCAGUACAAACACAUGGUGUUGCCAAGCACUUUUCCAAAGUACUGUACACGGGAAAAAAACCCAAAAAAACUCAAUCCCAGUUCCCAGGAAAACAACGGGAAGAGAUUUGACCUUCCUCAACACACAUCCGUUAUCUCGGAUAAGCCUCCAGCAUAUCCACAAACCUGAACUCUGCCAGCCUUCCCACAAACUACAAGCACUGAGAGCCCUUUGCUGUGGGGUAUUUAUAUUUCUUAAAAGCAUUGCCACAUCCUCCCUGCCCUGGAAGCCCAAACUCCUUUCAUUUCCCUGCUGUCCUAGGCGGAGCGUGGCUCUGAUCCCACUCCGUGGAGCCAGAGGUGACGCUGCCCCUGGGCACUGCUGUCCCACCCUUGGUGCAUGGUGUGACCUGCGUGCUCCCCUGUGAAGAUCAGUCUGGAAAACCCAGAGACAAAGGAUCAGCCUGGUCAAUUAUCAAACACAUGGGAAAGAUCCAAGUCCAGAGUGUCCCAGCCGCAGGAGCGCUGUGCCUGGCAGGGAGCGUUUCAGAGCUCAGCCACGGAACCACGCGAGGGUUGCACAGCUACCAGAACAACUCCUGGGAUAAAGCCUUGCAAUGACUUCCCAUGAAGUCUGAAUCCAAAGGGAUGCAAUUUAACUCCAGGAGAGGUCGUCAGCCCAGUCUACUGUCCUAAAUUAUGCAGACCAAAUCAGAUGACUGGACCCACUAAUCAUAAAUCAUAAUUCACACUCCAAGAGCAGGAGAGAUUGAUUCACAACAACUCCUACCUGACUCCAGGUCUUGGGAACCAGUCUCCCAAUUUUCAGCUGGGAAAGGGAUAAUGCAGCAAAGAAGAGCCAGAAUCCCAAAGGACUGGUCUGGAUGCCCC